rnacentral:rRNA from 1 species
AUACGGAGGGUCCAAGCGUUAUCCGGAAUCAUUGGGUUUAAAGGGUCCGCAGGCGGUCAAUUAAGUCAGAGGUGAAAGCCCAUCGCUCAACGAUGGAACUGCCUUUGAUACUGGUUGACUUGCGUUAUACGGAAGUAGAUAGAAUAAGUAGUGUAGCGGUGAAAUGCAUAGAUAUUACUUAGAAUACCGAUUGCGAAGGCAGUCUACUACGUAUAUACUGACGCUGAGGGACGAAAGCGUGGGGAGCGAACAGGAUUAGAUACCCUAGUAGUCC